GACGAACGCUGGCGGUGUGCUUAACACAUGCAAGUCGAACGGUAAGGCCCUUUCUGGUGUACACGAGUGGCGAACGGGUGAGUAACACGUGAGUAACCUCCCCUCAUCUCUGGGAUAACAGUCGGAAACGGUUGCUAAUACUGGAUAUGAGCCUGCCAGGCAUCUUGUGGGGGGGAAGGAUUUUUUGGUUGGGGGUGGACUCGCGGCCUAUCAUCUUGUUGGUGAGGGGGUGGCUGACCAAGGCUUCUACGGGUGGCCGGCCUGAGAGGGCGACCGGCCGCAUUGGGACUGAGAUACGGCCCAAGCUCCCACGGGAGGCAGCCGUGGGGAAUUAUGCAAAAUGGACCGGAGUCUGAUGCAGCAACGCCGCGGGCGGGAAGACGGCCUUCGGGUUGUAAAACGCCUUCAAUUGUGAAGAAGCUUUUUGUGACGGUAGCAGUAGAAGAAGCACCGGCUAACUACGUG
rnacentral:rRNA from 1 species